CGCUCGAAGCGCGUCGUGGUAUUUCGCGUAUUGUAAUUUCAACACGAGCGGGGUCAAAUCCUUUGCAGACGACUUAGCUGUGCGAAACGGUCCUGUAAGCAGUAGAGUAGCCUUGUUGUUACGAUCUGCUGAGGGUAAGCCGUCCUUCGCCUCGAUUU
rnacentral:rRNA from 1 species